UUACAUUUUAGGUUAGUUUUUUAAUUGGUUAAAUAUAAUCAUAAAAACUCAAUGAGAAUAAUUCCUUCUAUUUGGGCUUUUAGUUAUUUUUAAUUAAUUUUGGUCCAUCAAGUUUAACCUAAUUUUGUAUAUUAUAAAUAGGACAACCUUUACACAACUGAAAAAAGAGGAACGAACCCUUAUUUUUCCAAAUCUCACGAACAAAAAGAACACAGUCUGUACAUAUUUUCUCACAUACUAACAUACACGUAUUGUUGUUAACCCUUGAUUUGAACCUUUCAUCAUCCUCACUAACCUCUGUUCAUAGAAUACAAACCAACUCCACCUAUUCUCUACACAAUAAAAAAGCAAGAGAUAUCCACAUUCUUUUUUUUCUAAUUUCUAACAAACAUUACUGAUUUCAGUUCUAUCAUUAACCUUUUUAUUAUGAAUUUCUCUUCAUUACUAACACCUUAAUACUUUGAAUUUUAGUUUGUUCCCUUUUUGCAGAUUAAAGAUGGUACGCAUACAGAGAACAACAUUGUUUUGUUCAUCACCGCACAACCGAGUCGCUGGAGCGCCGCCCAUCAUCACUGCUGUCGAAAUCAUUUGUUGCGGCUGAAGCAACCACCGCCAAACUAUCAUCUUCAUCACUAUAUUUUUUAUCACUAACAACUUACCAAUCCACUUUUCAGGCAUAGUAUUUUUUGCAGGAGAAUAGUCAUUGUAUUUGGAUCCAAAAGAUCAACAAAAUUGCAAGCAGAGUGAAAGAGGAAAUCAAAUCAUAUGAGCGUCGUUGUUUCCCAAUACCGGAUGCCGAGGUUACGACCAUCUCCGCUCUGAUAACGGCCAGCCUUCACCGGAGAUAAUCUCAGCCAUCGGAAUCCUACGACGAAGCUUCUCCGUCGAAGCUGCACCAGCCACGCACUCCGAUUCAGAUCUCGGCCGCCUCCGCGACCACGCUCAGGCCGCAACCACCUCCGACCACGCAAGACCUCCGCUCCGACGAGAAAGCGCUGCGCCGGGAAGCAAACCGUCGACGUAUCUCCACCACGCCAUCCGCACCGCUCAGCCGCACCUCCUCCAACAACCUCAAAUCACCGCUUGCGAAGUAUAACGGAGGAACACGCUUCACGACCGCCACAGGGUUACUCUUCAAAUACACUCCGACAUUCCGACUAUGCGUCACGCCCUUCCCGAAGCUAAGUACCCUAUUUAUUUUUAAAAGUCUAUUUUGUUUCCUUUUGAUUUUAGGGUUUGCCCUUAACCUUUCUUGAACUGUGCAUACAUUCACCUAUUACUUUGCCUUUGCCAUUUUCAGGGUUAACCCCGAGGCUUACCGCCAACCAUGUCAGAUCAAAUUCAAAGCUAAGUACUUAUAUGUUAUUGAUUUUGAAUUUCUUUACCUUUUCAUUUUUAGGGUUAUCAAUGUUUGCCUCCGAACCGAUAAUGCACUCACCCUAUUUUGCUUUCUGUUUUUUCACUUUUUUCAGGGUUUGCCAAUUGUCAAAGCUUCGAAUACCGGUAACCCUAAAACUUUACUCUAAUUAUUACUUAUGUCAAACCCUAUUAAGGGAUCCGCUGGUUACAAUUUCCCUCCCCCUUUAUUGCUUUAUAUACUGUGUGGUUAGUAAUUUAGGGAGUGCAAAUUUAAACUGGAUUAGAGUCACUAAUUACAAGAUAAAUAACUGAAUUGAACCACAUGAAUGAUUGAUGCACACACGCACUCUUUUGGGGUAACCUCUCUGUUGCCUUGUUGCCUGUUGCCUUUGUGUUUUUUUGCAGAAUAAGCCAUGUCCCUCGAAUACGAGGAUACCUCAGCCAUGCUGCCUCGAUAAAUAAAGGUCAUGCGACCCUAAAUGAUGCUGCCUUCGAUACACAAAUAUGACCUCGACCCUCGGAAGUUGCCUACGGAAAGGCUGAGGUAUCCUCUGGUUGCCUACGAAUAAGGCUUAUUCUGAUCCUUACCUUAGACUACCUGCCCUUCUAUGGCAUGGGACAGUCUUAUGGCAAAGGAUGUUUCGACGACCCUUUAACAUCCAAACGAAAGGCUUCCUGCCCUCUUAUGGCAAGGACUGAUCCUUUCAACCUGAAAGGCUAAAAAGAGACCUAUCAUCUGAGUUUAAGGUAAUUGCCCCUAAUUGCCUUGCCAUGCUCUAUUUUCUAUAUUCUUUCUCAAAAUUCUUCAAAAACUGGCUACGCUCAUUUACGAGCUAAAGUCCAUUUUUUCCUCUUUCAUCUAUAUUUUCUGAAAACGAGCAAGCAAAGCAAUUAAGAGCCCAUGGAAAACCAUGGAUGCAAAGGGUGCCUUACACCUUCCAUUUGCAUAAAUUACCCCCCGAACUUAGAUUUCUUUAAAAGGUUUUUUUCUGUUUCUUUUAGCCUUUCUGAAUUUGUUUGGAUAAAAUAAAAGUCGGUGGCGACUCUUGCUUUACCGCACAUUUCGAUUAUAAAAGUCAGUUCACCGUAUUACAGAACUGGCGACUCUGAUGGGGAUAUUUUUCUUAUAAAAGAAGGGUUACCUUAAAAGUUUAGGAUUCAUUUUAAAUGUUUUCUAUUGUUUGCUUUGUUUGUUUUAUUUUUCAGGGGCGUUUUGGGAAUUAACUGAAGGACGAAUCCUAUUCCCGGAUUCAAGUACAUCUAAGAUAGGAAGUGGCAUAGUCAUGGCGACCUCCCUUGUGUAUGCUUGGGAUUGGUCAAUAUGAGAGUUCACGCUUAAGUUAGGCCUCCAUGGGUGUUUGCAUGCUUCUCUUGUAUGAGGGAGGUUCGUGCCGAUGUCUGUGGGUGAGUCGGAGCUUAAGGACCUUUAGUUACCUUUAACCCAUCCUGACUUUUAGGAACGUAGUGGGGGGACUACUCUUGAUGUAUGUUGAGAGCAUAGUCGCUACCCGAUACUACAACUCAGAUAGGUUCUUUCUCAAAGUAUCAUUGCAUGGUAUGUAUGUAUCAUGUUCGAGGGUGCUUUAGGAGGGCUGACAAUUCUGAGUCACUUGGUAGAACCCGUUGCUGAAAUCUCCUUAUCCAUAGAAAUAUCCUUGGGAAGGACACCCGAUCAGACUCCAUGCAAGCCUUAAGCCAAAAAUUGUGUGACUUGUGUGACUUGUUCGUGUUUACUACUAACCUUCAUUUCCUCGCAGGUUUUAUUGAAAGGACUUGUUCGUCCUUACUAUCUCACACCAUGACUAAUGAACUGCAUUUGCAUAACAUCAUGACAUCAUAAGCAUAAGAUGAUCAACUAACCCUUUCAAGGAUCUUAGGAAUUUAGGGCGCACAAUUUCAGGUGCUCUUAUCAAAGACCGAAUUCCUAUCUAGGAGCAAGAGGAUUUAUUUUCCUCUGGUCACACACCUUCCAAUUCAAAGACUCGGUAUCUUGCAAGGGGCAAGAGGAUUUACUUUCCUCUGGCCAUGUAUCUUCAAAUUCAGAAGCAUCCCGAAUCAGAAACGAUGACCCACUCGAUAUGGUGAGCUUAAUUCUCAAAGAAGGAUGUUCAAAGACAAGAGUCAGAAUUCUUCAAACAAAUAUGCGACCAAAUCACUUUCCAAUGUUGCUAACUAAAUUCCUUCAAGAUCCUUGAAAACAUUUCAUUUGCAUUCAUGACAUUGCAUAUUUCUAACUUCGUUUUCAGGUUCCGCCUUGACAAUCAUUCCUCUCAGAUAUAAUCGAGCUGGAGAUUCAUUCUGACAAGCCUUUUUACAUUCCAAAACUUCGACAAAUAACUCAUCGACUCUAACGAACAAACAUUCUCUAUCAGAUAUGGUCUAAUAUACGACCCGUUCCGGUAUUCUUAAUCAGAUAUGGUCUAAUAUACGACCCGUUCCGGUAUUCUUAAUCAGAUAUGGUCUAAUAUACGACCCGUUCCGGUAUUCUCAAUCAGAUAUGGUCUAAUAUACGACCCGUUCCGGUAUUUUUAGUCAGAUAUGGUCUAAAUGUAUGACUCGUUCUGGCAUUAUCCAUCAGAUAUGGUCUAAUAUACGACCCGUUCCGGUAUUUUUAGUCAGAUAUGGUCUAAAUGUAUGACUCGUUCUGGCAUUAUCCAUCAGAUAUGGUUUAAUGUAUGACUCAUUCUGGUAUUCUCCUUCAGAUAUGGUUUAAUGAAUAACUCGUUCUGAUAUCCUUCCUCAGAUAUGGUCCAAUGUAUGACUCAUUCUGACACCCUCCAACAGAUAUGGUCUAAUGUACGACUCGUUCUACUAAUUCCAACAGAUAUGGUCUAAUGUACGACUCGUUCUGCUAUUCCUCAACAGAUAUGGUCUAAUGUAUGGCUCGUUCUGACAUUCCUCUGCAGAUAUGGUCUAAUGUAUGGCUCGUUCUGACAUUCCUCUGCAGAUAUGGUCCAAUGUAUGACUCGUUCUGACAUUCCUCUGCAGAUAUGGUCUAAUGAAUAACUCGUUCUGACAUCCUUCAACAGACAAGGUCUAAAUGUAUGACCCGUUUCCCUAAUCACGAACAAUGUUGUGCACAAUCUGAAAGGUCGAACCGAACACAACCAAACUGUGGGGACAAUUCUGAUCUCUACAAUGGUUCCACAACAAAGACGCAAGUCAGAUGCACCUAAGCGUCGAUUCACCCAGAUCAAUAUGUCACUGGCUCAAGCAUUAUAACACCUACUGAGGACGGAGUUGAUCACCUUAAAGGAUCCCCCUAAGAACCUUAGUACUUCUGCUCGUAGCUAUGAUCCUAAUGUGAGGUGUGCAUACCACUCUGAUAGUCCUGGUCAUGAUACAAAUAGCCGCUGGUCAGUGAAGAACAAGAUUCAAGACAUGAUCGAUGCUGGAGAAGUUGAAUUCAACCAUCCGAGAACUCCUGUGGUGAUCACCGCUCCUAUGCCUAGUCACGACAAGACUGAUUAAUGUCUAAGUGGAUGAACUUUUAAUCAUUAGAUUUACUUUCAUGCGCAAAUUUUAUUCUGUUUGUUUAAACAUUCGAAUCAUGAUAGACAUUAUCUGUUUUAAUAAUUAUCAUCAGUGCAUUGCAUAUGUUUGUCUUGAAUACAUUAUUUCGUUAUCACUCAUUUUAAAUUGCGUAUUUACUUUGCAUAUGUUUUGUGCUUAUUCAACUCCUGCUAAGCUGUAUACCUUUUAAGGGAGGAUGACGAAAACGAUACCGCAACCUCAUACAGUAUGCUUUUGAGCGGACUAUGCUGACGAUGUACAGGCAUUGUUUCAAUUUCUAAACAGUGGAGAUAUAAGGAUGUUAAUCCCUCGUUAACCCCUUUGAGCCUAAGAAGUAGAAGUUUUCUUUCUUGUACUAAUUAAAACCCUUGAUCAUAACCUGGGGCAGGGUAGUUCUCAGUUAAUUUGGCUGUGCAUUCUAUUUUAAGAGAAUCAUUCAGUACACCUUUCAACAAAGGUUUCAAUCAUAAACGUUCAACCAUACACAUCAAAGAAGUGUUGGAGAUGUCAAUCAAAAGACAAUGAUGGUUCAUCAAUCAUUAAGCAACGCAGUCAAUAUCUUUCAAAAGAAAAAAAAAUGAAAAAACAUAUAUACAAAGAAAAGCCUGCUAAGUCAAAAAUCAAAAGACGACUUAGGCAAAAUCAAGGCAUCCCGCUGACUGUAAUCUCAGAAAUAAACAGUUCAGGCAAAAGUUAGGGAUAUCAAAAAGAUGAAAAAAGAGAAGUCAAUAUACAACACAAUGUUGUGACUACCAAAGGAAGAAGCGACUGCCAUCUCAAAAGCUUUCCUUGCUUGUGAACCAUCAUCAUUAUCAAAGGUGCAAAUCCAAAAGUCUCUUGGAACCUGAAUGCACAAGUUGAAUUAACUGAGCUUAGGAUCGAAGAUCAUCACGAAGAGGGGUGGGUACAAUCAAUUUUUGAGCCUUUAUCCUUCGUUUCUUAAACCGUGAACCAAGCCACGUUAUAACCCUUAAAAGUCCUAACUGAAGCAUGGUUAGUUCGAAAGCAUACUGUCACAAAAAAGGUAUCCUGACUCCUUAAGGUUUACCACAAAUGCUGAGUUGACACUUCGUUUUUUACAAACAUCACGUUUUUAUAAACAUCAUGCUUUUACAUAUCCAAUUUUAAUGUUUUUCAACAAACUCAGGACAGACAUAUGCAUUGCAUCUCAUGAAUUCAUUAUUAAACAUAUUCUGCUACAUAAUUUCAAAUGUUAGCAUCAGAAAGAACUUGCACAUGAUACAACUAAUGACUGAAAGUUAUCCCGACAAACAAAAUCACUCCAAGAAGCCAUGUCUCUUACGUAUACAAGGGGCAUGACAUGUUUUGCCCAACCAAUCUGAGGCAAUCAAGUCAAGAUUCCAAGAAUCUCUCAAAUGACAAACAGUCAAAGGCAUAUAUCCCAAGUGGGUUUCAUACUAUUUCCCGAUCAAUCUGGGUCAAUCAAGUCAAGAUUCCGAGAAUCUCUCAUGGAUGCUCGAACAAUCAGGGGCAUGCAUCCAAGUAUAUCUAAAGCUACUCCCCAAUCAACGUGAGACAUUGUCAUGAGCCUAUGAUUACUGGGGGCAUAUCGCCCAUAGUGAACAUCUCAUAAAGUCCUCGCGAGGCGAAUCUUUCCAAAGUUCCCGCUAACUAGGGCAAAUCUAUGCAAGUCCAGUUCAACAUCUUGAUCAACACUCAGUGGCGUGUCUUGAAUCGAGUAGUAAGUUACUAUGAUACUGGGGGCAACUUUCAAGACGUCCACAUCUCCCCACAGAGUCAGGUUCAUAAGAUCAUAUCCCCACAAAGUAAUCAUUAAGAUGAUAUCUUCAAAAGUUCUCGUCCCGACACAGAUAUGGAUCCCCAACAGAGUUGACAUCUUCAACACCACCGACACUUUGUUCCUCUCCAACAUGGCCUACUAAUAUCUUUCAUCCCCAGUCAGGAUCCAUCAAAUUACUAUUCAUCCCCAAGCAGAAGUCAUAAAUCCCCAGCUAAACAUCUUCAAGACGAAAUCAAACAUCAAAAUCACAAAGACCUGGGAAUUUAUUUUCUCGACUAAAUCAUAUUUGCAUAUCAUAUGACACAAACAUAUUCAUACAUCAUAUACAUCACUGCAUAACAAAUCCAUAACAUACAAAGUUUCUCAUUUAUUUUGAGAUACUCAUUACAUAAACACAUGCAUCACAACAUAAGAGAACUAACCUCUACUUUUCAGGAUACCACUAUCUCCAUUUACAAGAGUUAAGUCGACACCUCUGACGGUUCCUUAACAAUCUAUUUUCAAGUAUUAAGUCGAUACCUUUGACGGUUCCUUAAUAUAUCAAGAGUUAAGUCGACACCUUUGACGGUUCCUUAACGACACACUUCAGAUAUAAGUCGACACCUUUGACGGGUCCUUAUACAAUCUAUCUACAUAUCUGAGUCGAUACCUUUGACGGUGCCUCAAUGAUAUGCUUCAGAGUUAAGUCGAUACCUUUGACGGUUCCUUAACAACCCGCAUCAAGAGUUAAGUCGACACCUUUGACGGUUCCUUAACGACAUACUUCAGAUAUAAGUCGACACCUUUGACGGUUCCUUAUACAAUCUAUCUACAUAUCUGAGUCGAUACCUUUGACGGUGCCUCAACAAUAUGCUUCGAAUUUAAGUCGAUACCUUUGACGGUUCCUUAAAUAACCCAACACAGAUUUGAGUCGAUACCUUUGACGGUUCCUCAACAUUCAAAAGAGGGAAGACAGCAAAAGCAGAAAUUGCGUAACAAUCUAUACUCCAACAGCUAUCAGAUGGCAUCUUCAAGCCCAUCUCCAUCAUAGAUCUUCUCCAAACACCUGGAUGGCAUCUUCAAGCCCAUCUCCGACAAAAGUCCCUCCUUCAGCUAGGGCAAAUUUCUUAGUAUUCUAGUGUUCAAUCAUCUUCCACCUUCAGAUACCGACUGGCAUACAAACCACUCUACAUCUUCAGGUUUAAGAUAAUUGAACAGGGGCAGCUGUCAUACCCCAAAAUUUGCCCUCAUAUAUUUACAAACGCCAUUUUAUUUCGAAUAAAUGAAUUGGCACAGUUGGUAAGGAUUUGAGUAUGAAUGGUACAAUAGCGCGAGGUCCCGUGUUUGAGUCCCACUACUAACAAUUUUUUAUGUUAUUUGUUACUAACUUAAUUUUCGUUUUAAAUUACUUUUUCUAAAAAUCACAAAAAAUUGUUUUUUUUAUUUGCAAUUGAUUUUCAUAGUUUUUUUUACUUUUUCCAUAAAAAAUAGAAAGAUUUUAAAUUCUACACCCUUUUUUACAUUUUAGGUUAGUUUUUUAAUUGGUUAAAUAUAAUCAUAAAAACUCAAUGAGAAUAAUUCCUUCUAUUUGGGCUUUUAGUUAUUUUUAAUUAAUUUUGGUCCAUCAAGUUUAACCUAAUUUUGUAUAUUAUAAAUAGGACAACCUUUACACAACUGAAAAAAGAGGAACGAACCCUUAUUUUUCCAAAUCUCACGAACAAAAAGAACACAGUCUGUACAUAUUUUCUCACAUACUAACAUACACGUAUUGUUGUUAACCCUUGAUUUGAACCUUUCAUCAUCCUCACUAACCUCUGUUCAUAGAAUACAAACCAACUCCACCUAUUCUCUACACAAUAAAAAAGCAAGAGAUAUCCACAUUCUUUUUUUUCUAAUUUCUAACAAACAUUACUGAUUUCAGUUCUAUCAUUAACCUUUUUAUUAUGAAUUUCUCUUCAUUACUAACACCUUAAUACUUUGAAUUUUAGUUUGUUCCCUUUUUGCAGAUUAAAGAUGGUACGCAUACAGAGAACAACAUUGUUUUGUUCAUCACCGCACAACCGAGUCGCUGGAGCGCCGCCCAUCAUCACUGCUGUCGAAAUCAUUUGUUGCGGCUGAAGCAACCACCGCCAAACUAUCAUCUUCAUCACUAUAUUUUUUAUCACUAACAACUUACCAAUCCACUUUUCAGGCAUAGUAUUUUUUGCAGGAGAAUAGUCAUUGUAUUUGGAUCCAAAAGAUCAACAAAAUUGCAAGCAGAGUGAAAGAGGAAAUCAAAUCAUAUGAGCGUCGUUGUUUCCCAAUACCGGAUGCCGAGGUUACGACCAUCUCCGCUCUGAUAACGGCCAGCCUUCACCGGAGAUAAUCUCAGCCAUCGGAAUCCUACGACGAAGCUUCUCCGUCGAAGCUGCACCAGCCACGCACUCCGAUUCAGAUCUCGGCCGCCUCCGCGACCACGCUCAGGCCGCAACCACCUCCGACCACGCAAGACCUCCGCUCCGACGAGAAAGCGCUGCGCCGGGAAGCAAACCGUCGACGUAUCUCCACCACGCCAUCCGCACCGCUCAGCCGCACCUCCUCCAACAACCUCAAAUCACCGCUUGCGAAGUAUAACGGAGGAACACGCUUCACGACCGCCACAGGUUUUCUUACCUUUUUCUCUUUUAUAUUUUUCAUUGUUGUGAUAAUUUGUGCUUUCUGUUUGGUCUUAAGUUGAAACUACCAUGGUUGUUGUUAUUUGUUGAAAUAAAAGUGAGUUGAGAGGAAUUUGACUUUGUGUUUCUUUCCUAUGUUAUAAACGUGUGGGAGAGAAAGAGUCUUAGGCCUCAAUGUGUGAGUGUAUGCUAAUUAUUUUCAACUAUUUUAUUUUAUUUUAUUCUUAAAUCAUGUGCCACGUGUUUCGAUUCGAUUGGCUACAGCAUGGGUUGAAAAGUCAAAAAUAUGGAAAAGAGGGAUGUACCGCCUCUGGUGGUUUCUAAUGUCAUGUUUCAUUAUUUCUAUUCAUUAUUUGGUAAUUUACUUAUUAAAACAUUAAAAAAUAUAUAUCUAAAAUACUAAAAAAUCAAAUAUAAUAAACUAACCAGAAAACUAACGUAUUAGUUUUUCUCCUAAAUUUACUUAAUAAACUUUAAUUUAGUUAAGACAUUUAAUUUAGUUAUCACUUAAUCAUAAUAAAAAUAUGAAAAUUAGGAUUUAGGAUUUAGUUAAUUAAUUUUGAUAUAGUUCUUUAACAACCUUAAUUAGAAUUUAAUUUUUUAGGUUUAGUAAUUAACCUUAACUCAAAAAACCUUAAGGUAGGUGUUUCCCAUUAACCAUAGGUCUAGGUUUACCUUUCUCUUCUUCAUUCUUAAUUUUCAGGGUUACUCUUCAAAUACACUCCGACAUUCCGACUAUGCGUCACGCCCUUCCCGAAGCUAAGUACCCUAUUUAUUUUUAAAAGUCUAUUUUGUUUCCUUUUGAUUUUAGGGUUUGCCCUUAACCUUUCUUGAACUGUGCAUACAUUCACCUAUUACUUUGCCUUUGCCAUUUUCAGGGUUAACCCCGAGGCUUACCGCCAACCAUGUCAGAUCAAAUUCAAAGCUAAGUACUUAUAUGUUAUUGAUUUUGAAUUUCUUUACCUUUUCAUUUUUAGGGUUAUCAAUGUUUGCCUCCGAACCGAUAAUGCACUCACCCUAUUUUGCUUUCUGUUUUUUCACUUUUUUCAGGGUUUGCCAAUUGUCAAAGCUUCGAAUACCGGUAACCCUAAAACUUUACUCUAAUUAUUACUUAUGUCAAACCCUAUUAAGGGAUCCGCUGGUUACAAUUUCCCUCCCCCUUUAUUGCUUUAUAUACUGUGUGGUUAGUAAUUUAGGGAGUGCAAAUUUAAACUGGAUUAGAGUCACUAAUUACAAGAUAAAUAACUGAAUUGAACCACAUGAAUGAUUGAUGCACACACGCACUCUUUUGGGGUAACCUCUCUGUUGCCUUGUUGCCUGUUGCCUUUGUGUUUUUUUGCAGAAUAAGCCAUGUCCCUCGAAUACGAGGAUACCUCAGCCAUGCUGCCUCGAUAAAUAAAGGUCAUGCGACCCUAAAUGAUGCUGCCUUCGAUACACAAAUAUGACCUCGACCCUCGGAAGUUGCCUACGGAAAGGCUGAGGUAUCCUCUGGUUGCCUACGAAUAAGGCUUAUUCUGAUCCUUACCUUAGACUACCUGCCCUUCUAUGGCAUGGGACAGUCUUAUGGCAAAGGAUGUUUCGACGACCCUUUAACAUCCAAACGAAAGGCUUCCUGCCCUCUUAUGGCAAGGACUGAUCCUUUCAACCUGAAAGGCUAAAAAGAGACCUAUCAUCUGAGUUUAAGGUAAUUGCCCCUAAUUGCCUUGCCAUGCUCUAUUUUCUAUAUUCUUUCUCAAAAUUCUUCAAAAACUGGCUACGCUCAUUUACGAGCUAAAGUCCAUUUUUUCCUCUUUCAUCUAUAUUUUCUGAAAACGAGCAAGCAAAGCAAUUAAGAGCCCAUGGAAAACCAUGGAUGCAAAGGGUGCCUUACACCUUCCAUUUGCAUAAAUUACCCCCCGAACUUAGAUUUCUUUAAAAGGUUUUUUUCUGUUUCUUUUAGCCUUUCUGAAUUUGUUUGGAUAAAAUAAAAGUCGGUGGCGACUCUUGCUUUACCGCACAUUUC